AGAUGUGAUCAUACCAGCACUAACGCACCCGAUCCCAUCAGAACUCCGUAGUCAAGCGUGCUUGGGCGAGAGUAGUACUAUUAUGGGUGACCCCCUGGGAAGUCCUCGUGCUGCAUCCC
rfam:Nicotiana sylvestris Nsyl_contig33635, whole genome shotgun sequence.